AAUAGAUACCCAGGUAGUCCACGCCGUAAACGAUGAGUGCUAAGUGUUAGGGGGUUUCCGCCCCUUAGUGCUGCAGCUAACGCAUUAAGCACUCCGCCUGGGGAGUACGGCCGCAAGGCUGAAACUCAAAGGAAUUGACGGGGGCCCGCACAAGCGGUGGAGCAUGUGGUUUAAUUCGAAGCAACGCGAAGAACCUUACCAGGUCUUGACAUCUCCUGACCGCCCUGGAGACAGGGUCUUCCCUUCGGGGACAGGAUGACAGGUGGUGCAUGGUUGUCGUCAGCUCGUGUCGUGAGAUGUUGGGUUAAGUCCCGCAACGAGCGCAACCCUUGUCCUUAGUUGCCAGCAUUCAGUUGGGCACUCUAAGGAGACUGCCGGCUAAAAGUCGGAGGAAGGUGGGGAUGACGUCAAAUCAUCAUGCCCCUUAUGACCUGGGCUACACACGUGCUACAAUGGGCGGUACAGAGGGUCGCGAACCCGGCGAGGGGGAGCCAAUCCCAAAAAACCGGCUCUCAGUUCGGAUUGCAGG
rnacentral:rRNA from 1 species